ACUUCUCCUUUCAUUUCUUUACUAUACCAGAGAUACUCUAGCUUCUUGUAACAAUUCCGCUAUCUCAUCCGAUUAAGUUUGGAAUUGCAAAUAAACCCUGACUUUUGUAAGGCUGCUCGUCACUUUGAGUGCACUUUGCUGACCCUGAGUAACGAGCAUAUAGGCGGCUUGUUCGCUAUAUUCCGAGGAAAGUUUGCUCUAUCAACCUGAUAUUAGUCUAUUAGUCUACCAUGGUUAUUACGGAUAACGGAGAAGGAGCCUUAGAAACGGCUACCACAUCUAAGGUAGGCA
rnacentral:ncRNA from 1 species